CCUACGGGAGGCUGCAGUGGGGAAUAUUGCACAAUGGGGGAAACCCUGAUGCAGCGACGCCGCGUGAGUGAAGAAGUAAUUCGUUAUGUAAAGCUCUAUCAGCAGGGAAGAAAAUGACGGUACCUGAGUAAGAAGCCCCGGCUAACUACGUGCCAGCAGCCGCGGUAAUACGUAGGGGGCAAGCGUUAUCCGGAUUUACUGGGUGUAAAGGGAGCGUAGACGGCAGUGCAAGUCUGGAGUGAAAGGCGGGGGCUCAACCCCCGGACUGCUCUGGAAACUGUACGGCUGGAGUGCAGGAGAGGUAAGUGGAAUUCCUAGUGUAGCGGUGGAAUGCGUAGAUAUUAGGAGGAACACCAGUGGCGAAGGCGGCUUACUGGACUGUAACUGACGUUGAGGCUCGAAAGCGUGGGGAGCAAACAGGAUUAGAUACCCCUGUAGUC
rnacentral:rRNA from 1 species